GUCAAAAUAUAAAUAAAAUACAAGGUUAUAAUACUUUGGAAUUUCCAAAAGAGUUUUAUUUUAUUUUUGUUAUAUUUACUUUUCUUUAAUUUGGUUAGUUUAGUUUUUCUUUAGGUUAUUUGUCAGGUUUAGGAUUCAAGUCCACAAUAUAGCAGGCUGAAGUGCAAAAUGUCUAUAAUACUGUCUGUGAGGUUAGAUGCUAUUAGCGGGAAGAGUCAACUCAGCAAUAGGCUAAAGACACAGCUAAAAUAAUAAUAAUAAUGAUAAUAAUAGAAACCCAUUCGUCAGACAUGAGUCUGAUGAAGCUCAAAAACAUGAAAUCUGAAAAAAACAAAAAUCAAGGAAAACAAAUGUUUAUUAACGGAAUAUAAGUAUAAGUAUGAAAAGUAAAAUGCAAUGAUGGAAUCUAUAUUCCUUAUCAUUAAAACAGAAAAAUCUAAA